rnacentral:rRNA from 1 species
AUACGGCCAUACCAUGCUGAAUAUACCGGUUCUCGUUAGAUCACCGAAGUCAAGCAGCAUUGGGCGCGGUCAGUACUUGGGUGGGUGACCACCUGGGAACACUGCGUGCCGUU